rnacentral:lncRNA from 1 species
GAGUUUUGAAAGUUGAAUCAGAUAUUAAAAGAUCGAAACAAGAAAGAAAAAUAGGAAGAGAUCUAGACCAACUGGGACUCGAAAUGACCAACAUGACAACUUAGAGAACCACUCUAAUAAGAAGAAAAGAACCAAACUUAUGAGUACUGUGGUAGAAAUCAUAGUAAGUCUUGCUAUAAGAAACUCGAAAAUGUGUUUUGAGUAAGGCAAGAAGGGAUAUUUGGCACCAGAUUGUCUUAAUAAAAAGAAUGACUCUAAGUCCGCCAAACUUACUAAUCAAAAUUAAAAAGAGAAUACACA